AAAGGGCCGACCGACGGUGGAUGUCGGAUGGUGCUGGAGGGGUUCAACCACAACGGAAGCUCGGAUGAAGGCUUACGAUGGAAAUCCGGCACGGACCGCUCGUGGUAGAAACUUAAAGUAGAUCGUUUGUAGUGGAAACUCAGAGCGGGUCGCUUGCGGUAGGAGCUCGGGAUGAGAUUUACCUGCAGUCGAAGUCGGGGGCGAAGUCCGGC
rnacentral:lncRNA from 1 species